GUGGGGAAUUUUGGACAAUGGGCGCAAGCCUGAUCCAGCAAUGCCGCGUGUGUGAAGAAGGCCUUCGGGUUGUAAAGCACUUUUGGCGGGAAAGAAAUAGCGCGUGCUAAUACCAUGCGCGAAUGACGGUACCUGCAGAAUAAGCACCGGCUAACUACGUGCCAGCAGCCGCGGUAAGACGUAGGGUGCAAGCGUUAAUCGGAAUUACUGGGCGUAAAGCGUGCGCAGGCGGUUUUGUAAGACAGGUGUGAAAUCCCCGGGCUCAACCUGGGAACUGCACUUGUGACUGCAAGGCUAGAGUGUGUCAGAGGGAGGUGGAAUUCCGCGUGUAGCAGUGAAAUGCGUAGAGAUGCGGAGGAACACCGAUGGCGAAGGCAGCCUCCUGGGAUAACACUGACGCUCAGGCACGAAAGCGUGGGGAGCAAACAGGAUUAGAAACCCGUGUAGUCC
rnacentral:rRNA from 1 species